CACGAACGCUGGCGGCAGGCUUAACACAUGCAAGUCGAGCGCCCCGCACGGGGAGCGGCAGACGGGUGAGUAACGCGUGGGAAUCUACCCAUCUCUACGGAAUAACGCAUGGAAACGUGUGCUAAUACCGUAUACGUCCUUCGGGAGAAAGAUUUAUCGGAGUUGGAUGAGCCCGCGUUGGAUUAGCUAGUUGGUGGGGUAAAGGCCUACCAAGGCGACGAUCCAUAGCUGGUCUGAGAGGAUGAUCAGCCACACUGGUACUGAGCCACGGCCCAGACUCCUACAGGAGGCAGCAGUGGGGAAUAUUGGACAAUGGGGGCAAGCCUGAUCCAGCCAUGCCGCGUGAGUGAUGAAGGCCCUAGGGUUGUAAAGCUCUUUCACCGGUGAAGAUAAUGACGGUAACCGGAGAAGAAGCCCCGGCUAACUUCGUGCCAGCCGCCGCGGUAAAAC
rnacentral:rRNA from 1 species